rnacentral:sRNA from 1 species
GCGAGGACGGCGCGGGAGGGCGUUUCCGGAGCACGCGCCAGGCGGGGCCCGCUGACGUCGGGCUCAGGGCCGCGGCCAGAGGGCGAGAGUCCGCGCCUUCCGAGGGAGCCGCGCCCUGCGGGCCCCACCGUACCCGGGGGGAUGGAGGGCUGCCCCCGAGGCCCCCGCGCGGCUCGCGGUCCCACGCCUGCCGGCCCGCGCUAGCUACUCGACUCGUGCGUUUUAUCCGUCACCCAGGCCUUGUCUCCCGAGUCAUUGGCGUCGUGGUUCGAAAGAAAUGGAAGAAAAGGAGCGAUGUGACCGAUUCUGUUCGGUCCUCCUGCUUUGAGGCCUGGCAUUUGCAGAGGGAAACAGCAAGAAAAUCGUGGGGAUUUUGGAGGGGGGUGGGAGGGAAGGGUGGGGAAACGGAAACAAGGUCUUACAUUUUAUGUGUUUUUUUAAAUUCUGCACUUUGACAGUGGUAGCAAAAUAAAAGUAAUCCAGAAGUUAUUUUUCUAUUGAGAAGAGAGAAGAGGUGGGUU